rnacentral:misc_RNA from 1 species
UACGGAGGGGGCUAGCGUUGUUCGGAAUUACUGGGCGUAAAGCGCACGUAGGCGGAUCGAUAAGUUGGGGGUGAAAGCCCAAGGCUCAACCUUGGAAUUGCCUUCGAUACUGUCGGUCUAGAGUCCGGAAGAGGUGAGUGGAAUUCCUAGUGUAGAGGUGAAAUUCGUAGAUAUUAGGAAGAACACCAGUGGCGAAGGCGGCUCACUGGUCCGGUACUGACGCUGAGGUGCGAAAGCGUGGGGAGCAAACAGG